rnacentral:rRNA from 1 species
AUUGAACGCUGGCGGCAUGCUUUACACAUGCAAGUCGAACGGUAACAGGGUGCUUGCACCGCUGACGAGUGGCGAACGGGUGAGUAAUGCGUCGGAACGUGCCGAGUAGUUGGGGAUAACGCAGCGAAAGUUGUGCUAAUACCGCAUACGUACAGAGGCAGAAAGUGGGGGCGCUUCGGGCCUCACGCUAUUCGAGUGGCAGACGUCUGAUUCGCUAGUAGGGGAGGUAAAGGCUACCCUAGGGGACGAUCAGUAGCGGGUCUGAGAGGAGGAUCCGCCACACGGGAAAUGGAACACGGCCCAGACUCCUACGGGAGGCAGCAGUGGGGAAUUUUGGACAAUGGGCGAAAGCCUGUUCCAGCCAUGCCGCGUGUCUGAAGAAGGCCUUCGGGUUGUAAAGACUUUUGUCAGGGAGGAAAUCCCUAGUGCUAAUAACACUGGGGGAUGACAGUACCUGAAGAAUAAGCACCGGCUAACUACGUGCCAGCAGCCGCGGUAA